rnacentral:misc_RNA from 1 species
CCGAGUUUACAACUCCCAAACCCCUGUGAACAUACCUUUAUGUUGCCUCGGCGGAUCAGCCCCGCGCCCCCGUAAAAACGGGACGGCCCGCCGCAGGAAAACCCUAAACUCUGUUUUUUAGUGGAACUUCUGAGUAUAAAAAAACAAAAUAAAUCA